rnacentral:rRNA from 1 species
UGGGGAAUAUUGGACAAUGGGGGCAACCCUGAUCCAGCAAUGCCGCGUGGGUGAAGAAGGCUUUCGGGUUGUAAAGCCCUUUCGGUGGGGAAGAAAGGCCGCGCGUGAAGAGCGUGCGGCGUUGACGUUACCCACAGAAGAAGCACCGGCUAACUCCGUGCCAGCAGCCGCGGUAAUACGGAGGGUGCGAGCGUUAAUCGGAAUUACUGGGCGUAAAGGGCGCGUAGGCGGUUGGGUAAGUCGGGUGUGAAAGCCCUGGGCUUAACCUAGGAAUGGCAUUCGAGACUGCCGGACUGGAGUAUGGUAGAGGGAGGCGGAAUUUCCGGUGUAGCGGUGAAAUGCGUAGAUAUCGGAAGGAACACCAGUGGCGAAGGCGGCCUCCUGGACCACUACUGACGCUGAGGCGCGAAAGCGUGGGGAGCGAACAGG